rnacentral:rRNA from 1 species
AGGAUGAACGCUGGCGGCGUGCCUAAUACAUGCAAGUCGAGCGGCAGCGCGGUCUUCGGACUGGCGGCGAGCGGCGGACGGCUGAGUAACACGUAGGAACGUACCCCCAAAGUGAGGCAUAAAACACCAGAAAUGGUGUCUAAUACCACAUGUGCUCUAAGGAGUAAAGCUUCGGUGCUUUGGGAACGGCCUGCGCAUGAUUAGCUUGUUGGUGAGGUAAUGGCUCACCAAGGCGACGAUCAUUAGCUGGUCUGAGAGGAUGAUCAGCCAGACUGGGACUGAGAACGGCCCAGACUCCUACGGGAGGCAGCAGUAGGGAAUUUUCCACAAUGGGC